GGAGUGGGACCCUGCGGUGCAUUAGCUAGUUGGUAGGGUAACGGGCCUACCAAGGCGAUGAUGCAUAGCCGAGUUGAGAGACUGAUCGGCCACAUUGGGACUGAGACACGGCCCAAACUCCUACGGGAGGCAGCAGUAGGGAAUCUUCCACAAUGGACGCAAGUCUGAUGGAGCAACGCCGCGUGAGUGAAGGAGGGUUUCGGCUCGUAAAGCUCCGUUGUUGGUGAAGAAGGACAGGGGUAGUAACUGACCUUUGUUUGACGGUAAUCAAUUAGAAAGUCACGGCUAACUACGUGCCAGCAGCCGCGGUAAU
rnacentral:rRNA from 1 species